GAUGAAGAACGUAGCGAAAUGCGAUAAGUAAUGUGAAUUGCAGAAUUCAGUGAAUCAUCGAAUCUUUGAACGCACCUUGCGCUCCUUGGUAUUCCGAGGAGCAUGCCUGUUUGAGUGUCAUGAAAUUCUCAACCUUUUCAGCUUUCUUUGUUGAUCAGGCUUGGAUGUGGGAGUAUGCGGGCUUCUCAGAAGUCGGCUCUCCUGAAAUGCAUUAGCGGGACCUUUGUUGCCUGGCUUUGGUGUGAUAAUUAUCUACGCCAUUGUAGUCAAGCAGCUUAAAAUGAGGUUUCAGCUUCUAACCGUCUCCCCUGAGACAACUUUUUGACAAUUUGACCUCAAAUCAGGUAGGACUACCCGCUGAACUUAAGCAUAUCAUAAGCGGAGGA
rnacentral:misc_RNA from 1 species